UUCAAUAAUAAUAUCUGAGUUAUCUUACUUAUUGUGCAUAAAACACUAGUGUCAUAAUGUAUUAAGAGGUACUUACUAUUGCUACAGUGGUGCCCUAAUAUUGACGAAUAAUUCUAUUUGAAAAUGUUGUUGAAAUUUAACUCAGACAUAUCCUUUAGCACCCAGAAGGUUAAGACUGACGAUUAAACAAUAAGCUAAAAAGCUUAUUUUUAGAUUAUUAUUCAAAGUAUGGACAUGGCUUCAAUGAAGUUAUUGUACUGUCUGCGCCUCACUGCCGCUUCCCCUGAGAAAUCAGUGUUGACUAUGGCUCAGCUGUGUGUGGUUCAUAAUAGACGAAAUUACGUUGCCCGAAACUUGGUUUAUAGCUCAUUAAAAUAAUAUUAUGAAAUGUAGUCAACUUUAGAUAAAAGAGCUGUGAUUAAGGUUAUAAUGUGCGCAACCGGAACGCAGGGGAACAUUAAAAAAAUGUUAUAAGCAAUUUAAAAAACAUUUUUUUAUAAUAUUGUGCCUACAACAUUUUGUUUUACAUAACUUCAUAAAUCAUGACCAAAUUAUUUGGGCUUUUAAAUUACAUGAAAAAGAGAACUAUAAAAAUACAUAGUUAACUGCAGCCGGGUAUUAUAUACUAGUAGUUUAUUCUACCAUCUCGAUAAAGCCGUUAGACGGAGGGACAACAGUGUUGACUGUACAUUGUCACACAACUAUCGAUGAUGACAUCUGUUUAUGUUGGACGUGUGUCCAGUCAUCGAUUCACUCAAUCACAUCCAAAGGCUUCCUCGAAGCACCGGAAACCCACAUCUACACACAGUGCAUCAUAGACGGCUUGUCUCUGUAUGUUAGGCAUAAUUUACCACGAACAAAUAAUAAGCCAGGUAGUGACAAAAGAAUUUAUAUUUUUUCUAAAACGUUUUUACGAACAUCCUGUUUAAAAUAUUUAAAGCACUUUUUCCGCGGCUUUGUAAAUGGAUCGCUUAAAAUACGUACACUCAUUUAAAAAUAUAUAAAGCGGUCUUAAAUAAAAAAAAUAUAUGUUUGAGUUGGAUAGCACUUUAAGACAUAAUAAGUCUUAACAUCUGUCAGAAAUACUACUGAAUAAAAGUACGACAAGCUUUGUAUCAUUGCUAUCAAUAAAAAAAAAGGAAAACUUGAAGAUCAUGAGGUAGAGGAGCUGGUCAUUCAUAACCUCAUAGUUGUCGUUUUAAAGUUUACAAUAAGUUUGUAGCACUAUUCUUAUGCAAAGAUCGUUUAUGAAUAAUAUACAAACAGAAGAUAUUACAAGAAGUUAUGUAUAUAGAAAUGGAACGUCAAGAGCACCACAUAACAAUGAUUCAUCGCGGGCGCAGGCGAGUGUUGGCGCACCGCCAGCGUCUCCACUGUACUGUUCUACGCUGUUUUGUCCCAAUUUCGCUAAAUGUAGUCACAUUACUCGCGUUCUGGGUUGAGAGAAAUGUGCAUAAUGUUUUUAACAUUCUUUGCUUAACUUGCAUUUACAUAAAGUGAUUGCUUUAUUACAAAACUUUAUAUUUUUGUUAUAAAAGUAAUUUUUAUCAUAUUAUUGAACCUCUCGGAACGCCAAGAUAUCGCAGAUUACAACCUUAGCGGCAGAUGACAACCUGUAAAUAAUAAUUGCUUCUUAAUGAACGAAACAAUAAGCUAUUUAUUGAAAUAGUUUUUAUUCUUUUAACCGAUAAUAAUGCCAAGAACUUUGAUUUAUUAAAUAAUUUUAGUGGAAAUAAUGUUA